rnacentral:tRNA from 1 species
GGCCCGGCCGGGUAGCGGAUGCCGGGAGCGCUGGGGUCGAUCCAAGCGGAGGGCUCGGUCCUCACCUGCGCCCC